CCUACGGGAGGCAGCAGUGAGGAAUAUUGGUCAAUGGACGAGAGUCUGAACCAGCCAAGUAGCGUGAAGGAUGACUGCCCUAUGGGUUGUAAACUUCUUUUAUAAAGGAAUAAAACGAGGCACGUGUGCCUUUUUGCAUGUACUUUAUGAAUAAGGAUCGGCUAACUCCGUGCCAGCAGCCGCGGUAAUACGGAGGAUCCGAGCGUUAUCCGGAUUUAUUGGGUUUAAAGGGAGCGUAGAUGGGUUGUUAAGUCAGUUGUGAAAGUUUGCGGCUCAACCGUAAAAUUGCAAUUGAUACUGGGAGUCUUGAGUACAGUUGAGGUAGGCGGAAUGCGUGGUGGAGCGGUGAAAUGCUUAGAUAUAACGAAGAACCCCGAUUGCGAAGGCAGCUUACUAAACUGUGACUGACAUUGAUGCUCGAAAGUGUGGGUAUCAAACAGGAUUAGAUACCCCUGUAGUC
rnacentral:rRNA from 1 species